rnacentral:lncRNA from 10 species
GGCUGCGCGGCGCUCCUGGCGCGCACCUUGGCGUGCGGAGCUGGCACCUUGGCGCCGUGGGCGGCGGCGGGGCCAGCUGUAGAAUGUGAAGUUCCUUGUCUGCUGGCAGCCAGAGGCGACGAGUCUGGAUGUCAUGGAAGUGAAGGAUGCCAAUUCUGCGCUUCUCAGUAACUACAAGACGUUAAAAUACAUAUCAAAAUCACCAUGCAGACACCAGAGUCCUGAGACUGUCAGAGAAUUUCUCACAGCAAUGAAAAGCCACAAGUUGACCAAUCUUGCUCCAUCACCCAGGCUGGAGUGCAGUGGUGCAAUCUCGGCUCGCUACAACCUCCACCUCCGGGGUUCAAGCAAUUCUCCUUCCUCAGCCUCCCAAGUAGUUGGAACUACAGGCACCUGCCAUCACGCCCAGCUAAUUUUUUUUUUUACAUUUUUAGUAGAGACGGGGUUUUGCCAUGUUGGUCAGGCUGGUCUGGAACUCCUGACCUCAGGUGAUCCGCUUGCCUCACCCUCCCCAAGUGCUGGGAUUACAGGCAUGAGCCAUUGCGCCUGGUGGGGGCAGUGUCCCUUUCCACAGGUCUUAAGUUCCAGCACAGAGCACACUUGUUCUAGUCCUUGA